rnacentral:rRNA from 1 species
CUCUUGAGAGCGGCGGACGGGUGAGUAAUGCCUAGGAAUCUGCCUGGUAGUGGGGGAUAACGUUCGGAAACGGACGCUAAUACCGCAUACGUCCUACGGUGCAGAAAGCAGGGGACCUUCGAGCCUUGCGCUAUCAGAUGAGCCUAGGUCGGAUUAGCUAGUUGGUGGGGUAAUGGCUCACCAAGGCGACGAUCCGUAACUGGUCUGAGAGGAUGAUCAGUCACACUGGAACUGAGAGAGGGUCCAGACUCCUACGGGAGGCAGCAGUGGGGAAUAUUGGACAAUGGGCGAAAGCCUGAUCCAGCCAUGCCGCGUGUGUGAAGAAGGUCUUCGGAUUGUAAAGCACUUUAAGUUGGGAGGAAGGGGUUGUACAUUAAUACUCUGCAAUUUGGAGGUUACCGACAGAAUAGGCACCGGGCUAACUCUGUUGCCGCCAGCCGGGGUUAUAAC